AUUGAACGCUGGCGGCAUGCUUUACACAUGCAAGUCGAACGGUAACAGGCCUUCGGGUGCUGACGAGUGGCGAACGGGUGAGUAAUGCAUCGGAACGUACCCAGAGGUGGGGGAUAACGCAGCGAAAGCUGUGCUAAUACCGCAUGUGAUCUGAGGAUGAAAGCGGGGGACCGAGCAGCAAUGUUUGGCCUCGCGCCUUUGGAGCGGCCGAUGUCGGAUUAGCUAGUUGGUGGGGUAAAGGCCUACCAAGGCGACGAUCCGUAGCUGGUCUGAGAGGACGACCAGCCACACUGGGACUGAGACACGGCCCAGACUCCUACGGGAGGCAGCAGUGGGGAAUGUUGGACAAUGGGCGCAAGCCUGAUCCAGCAAUGCCGCGUGCGGGAAGAAGGCCUUCGGGUUGUAAACCGCUGUUGGCAGGAACGAAACGGUGUCCGCUAAUACCGGGCGCUAAUGACGGUACCUGCAGAAUAAGCACCGGCUAACUACGUG
rnacentral:rRNA from 1 species